UACGGAGGGGGCUAGCGUUGUUCGGAAUUACUGGGCGUAAAGCGCACGUAGGCGGCUUUGUAAGUUAGAGGUGAAAGCCCGGGGCUCAACCCCGGAAUUGCCUUUAAGACUGCAUCGCUAGAAUUGUGGAGAGGUAAGUGGAAUUCCGAGUGUAGAGGUGAAAUUCGUAGAUAUUCGGAAGAACACCAGUGGCGAAGGCGACUUACUGGACACAUAUUGACGCUGAGGUGCGAAAGCAUGGGGAGCAAACAGG
rnacentral:rRNA from 1 species